rnacentral:rRNA from 1 species
GAUGAACGCUGGCGGCGUGCCUAAUACAUGCAAGUCGAGCGAACGGACGAGAAGCUUGCUUCUCUGAUGUUAGCGGCGGACGGGUGAGUAACACGUGGAUAACCUACCUAUAAGACUGGGAUAACUUAGGGAAACCGGAGCUAAUACCGGAUAAUAUUUUGAACCGCAUGGUUCAAAAGUGAAAGACGGUCUUGCUGUCACUUAUAGAUGGAUCCGCGCUGCAUUAGCUAGUUGGUAAGGUAACGGCUUACCAAGGCAACGAUGCAUAGCCGACCUGAGAGGGUCAUCGGCCACACUGGAACUGAGACACGGUCCAGACUCCGACGGGAGGCAGCAGUAGGGAAUCUUCCGCAAUGGGCGAAAGCCUGACGGAGCAACGCCGCGUGAGUGAUGAAGGUCUUCGGAUCGUAAAACUCUGUUAUUAGGGAAGAACAUAUGUGUAAGUAACUGUGCACAUCUUGACGGUACCUAAUCAGAAAGCCACGGCUAACUACGUG